UGAACGCUAGCGGUAGGCUAACACAUGCAAGUCGAGGGGCGAGCACGGUGUAGCAAUACACUGGUGGCGACCGGCGUACGGGUGCGUAACACGUAUGCAACCUACCCGCUAUUGGGGGAUAACCCGGCGAAAGUCGGACUAAUACCCCAUAUUAUUCUUACCGGGCAUCCGGUAGGUCUGAAAGAUUUAUCGAUUGCGGAUGGGCAUGCGGAUGAUUAGCUAGUAGGUGGGGUAACGGCUCACCUAGGCGACGAUCAUUAGGGGUUCUGAGAGGAAGGUCCCCCCACACUGGAACUGAGACACGGUCCAGACUCCUACGGGAGGCAGCAGUGAGGAAUAUUGGUCAAUGGGCGCUAGCCUGAACCAGCCAAGUCGCGUGAAGGAUGAACCAGAUCUAUGGUUUGUAAACUUCUUUUGCAGGGGAGUAAAGUGCGACACGUGUGUUGUAUUGCAAGUACCCUGCGAAUAAGCAUCGGCUAACUCCGUGCCAGCCGCCGC
rnacentral:rRNA from 1 species